UACGUAGGUGGUAAGCGUUGUCCGGAUUUACUGGGUGUAAAGAGCGCGCAGGCGGUCGUUCAAGUCGCGUGUGAAAGCCCCCGGCUCAACUGGGGAGGGUCACGCGAUACUGAUCGACUGGAAGGCAGGAGAGGGUAGUGGAAUUCCCGGUGUAGUGGUGAAAUGCGUAGAUAUCGGGAGGAACACCAGUGGCGAAGGCGACUACCUGGCCUGUUCUUGACGCUGAGGCGCGAAAGCUAGGGGAGCAAACGGG
rnacentral:rRNA from 1 species